rnacentral:rRNA from 1 species
UACAGAGGUCUCAAGCGUUUGUUCGGAUUCAUUGGGCGUAAAGGGUGCGUAGGUGGCGCGGUAAGUCGGGUGUGAAAUUUCGGAGCUUAACUCCGAAACUGCAUUCGAUACUGCCGGGCGUUGAGGACUGGAGAGGAGACUGGAAUUUACGGUGUAGCAGUGAAAUGACGUAGAGAUCGAUGAAGGAAGACCAGUGGCGAAGGCGGGUC